CGUAUUUUGAGCAAUUGCUCAAAAUUCCGGGAAAGCGGGACCAUGUAAACAGCCACUAAAGCUGACAUUAAGCAUAUAAGACAUUAAGCAUAUAAAAAAAAAUAUGGAUACCUUCGUGACCUCACGUAUUUCAUUAUUUUCCCCAAGACGAACAUAAAUUAAGAAAGGCUGAGUGAUUUUGACUGCAGUCAGAUCAAAACAACAUAAAACAAGAAUCAUACGACACUAAAAAUGUCACCUUACAUGUUUUACAAAAAUACGACACUACAAAAAUAACCUUGCAUGUUUUAAUUUAAAGUCUUGUUGUGGAAGCACAAUAAGUGAGUGCUGUUUCUUCCUAUAAUAUCUUAAGGUUACAGGACACCCUUUUUGGCGUUUUGCGGAAAAUAUAAAAUAUCCAAAAUUAGAACAAAGCCGAACACAAUUUUGAAACUGACUUCUUUAGCUAUGCCCUGUGAAAAUUUGAGAAAAAUUCGUUAAAACCCGCUGGAGAACAACUCGUUUGAAAAUCAGUAAUUACCGUAAAAUUCCUCGGGAGAAAAUUGAAUUUGAAUAUUACAUUUUCAAUGCUUUUCUUAUUG